GAUGAAGAACGUAGCGAAAUGCGAUACGUAAUGCGAAUUGCAGAAUUCAGUGAGUCAUCGAAUCUUUGAACGCACAUUGCGCCCGCCAGCACUCUGGCGGGCAUGCCUGUCCGAGCGUCAUUUCAACCCCUCAAGCCCUGCUUGUGUUGGGGAUCGGCCGCCCCCGGGCGUCGCCGGCCCUGAAAUGAAGUGGCGGUCCCGCCGUGGAACCUCUGCGCAGUAGCAACACUCGCACUGGCGACCGGCGGCGACCACGCCCAACCCCCCUAUCUUUACAGGUUGACCUCGGAUCAGGUAGGAAUACCCGCUGAACUUAAGCAUAUCAAUAAGCGGAGGA
rnacentral:misc_RNA from 1 species